rnacentral:rRNA from 1 species
AAAUGAAUAGACGGGGGCCCGCACAAGCGGUGGAGCAUGUGGUUUAAUUCGACGCAACGCGCAGAACCUUACCAGCUCUUGACAUGGUAGUUGCGGUUUCCGGAGACGGAGACUUUCCGCAAGGAGACUAUCACAGGUGCUGCAUGGCUGUCGUCAGCUCGUGUCGUGAGAUGUUGGGUUAAGUCCCGCAACGAGCGCAACCCUUGCCUUUAGUUGCCAUCAGGUUGGGCUGGGCACUCUAAAGGAACUGCCGGUGAUAAGCCGGAGGAAGGUGGGGAUGACGUCAAGUCCUCAUGGCCCUUACGGGCUGGGCUACACACGUGCUACAAUGGCGGUGACAGUGGGCAGCAAGCGGGCGACCGCAAGCUAAUCUCUAAAAACCGUCUCAGUUCGGAUUGCAGGCUGCAACUCGCCUGCAUGAAGUUGGAAUCGCUAGUAAUCGUGGAUCAGCAUGCCACGGUGAAUACGUUCCCGGGCCUUGUACACACCGCCCGU